GGCUUCGUAAUUCAGUGGUAGAAUGCCUGCUUUACAUCGGACGAUACGCAGUAUGUCGCGGGUUCGAUCCCCGUCGAGGUCA
rnacentral:tRNA from 1 species